CAUCUCGACAGUGCUGGUGACAUUGCUUCUGGGCAUAACAAGAGUCAUUUCCUCGAACUCUGGUGCAGUUGAGUACGCUUUCAGGAGAAGUCAAAGAGCUGCUUCCUAGGAAACAAUGCUAGCAUGUCAGCUGGCUCGGCUCCUCCAAAGCCCGGAGCCAAGUUCUGCACUGCAUAAUUUUCGCAAUCAAAUUUUAAAGACUAGUAUUGUCGUUUCAUUUUGAUUUGCAAAACUGCCUAAAAAGAUAUUACACAGCUAACCAUAUUUAUGAAGAUUUCCCCCAAAAAAUAAAAAGGUCCCUGAAGGCAAUGACAUCAGAAACAGACACCACGUCACAAGUAUUCAUCUGUGUUGUGAAUGUGUCUGCAACCAUGGCAUGGAAGGAUCCUAAAGGUCUGAAUAAAAUCUGCACUAGGUACAAAGAUUUUUACAGAAUAUGUUACCCCGUCAGGAUCCAUAGCAUGAAAUCGUAAGUGCCCAAGUCCAUGGACGCUGCAUGUGUGCACACCUUGUGCAGCCAUCCCACCAUCAACUGCUAGCCUGUCUUCACGCCUGCAGAAGGCCGUCCUUCUGCACGUGCUUCCUUCCCCAGCCUCAGGCAGCUACACAUCCACUCCUGGUCUUCGGAGACUGGCUGGUUCUGGAAACUUCCAAUAAAUGAAAUCAACAGACGUUGACCCACGGUGCCUGGCUUCCCUUAUCUAGCAUGUUUCCAAGACUCUGUAUAUUGAUAUUUCACCUUUUGUAGCGGGAUUACAUUUUGCUGCAUCAA